rnacentral:rRNA from 1 species
CCUACGAGAGGCAGCAGUGAGGAAUAUUUGUCAAUGGGCGAGAGCCUGAACCAGCCAAGUCGCGUGAAGGAUGACGGCCCUACGGGUUGUAAACUUCUUUUGUCAGGGAGCAAUUGAGUCCACGUGUGGUCUUAGCGAGAGUACCUGAAGAAAAAGCAUCGGCUAACUCCGUGCCAGCAGCCGCGGUAAUACGGAGGAUGCGCUCGUUAUCCGGAUUUAUGGGGUUUAAAGGGUGCGUAGGCGGAAUAUCAAGUCAGCGGUAACAAUUCGGGGCUCAACCCCGUCGUGCCGUUGAAACUGAUGUUCUUGAGUGGGCGAGAAGUAUGCGGAAUGCGUGGUGUAGCGGUGAAAUGCAUAGAUAUCACGCAGAACUCCGAUUGCGAAGGCAGCAUACCGGCGCCCAACUGACGCUGAAGCACGAAAGCGUGGGUAUCGAACAGGAGUAGAUACCCCUGUAGUC